rnacentral:RNase_P_RNA from 1 species
GUAGGGUGGUGCUUGACUACCGGAAGAACCAUGAAUACAGCCCUUUUAAACAGGGGCUUGUUCCGAGUUCUGCUGAGGAAAGUCCGCCCACUCAAAACAGCGAAAGCUGUGGGAACGUGCCACUCGUGGAAGCGAGAUUUCGAAAGGGAUGGCAACGGCUCUAGAAACGAUACCCCCAUCAACUAGCUAUGAGGCAAGCGAAGGUCAUGGCGACAUGAUUGAGACAAUAAACCUGCCGAGCUAUAAUUUGAUGGAAUGGAUGAAACGGCGAGUCCUGGCUAGUGCAAGUCUUUUAGACGCUAAGUAGAAUGUCAAGAUGCUGUGCCCAUGAUUUCAUCGUGGACAGCAACAAAAGGCGGCUUAUAACUGCUCUAC